AUUAGAGUUUAAAAGAAAAAAAAAUAUUUUGGUUUUGAGACAAGGUUUCUCUGUGUGGCCCUGGCUGUCCUGGAACUCACUCUGGAGACCAGGCUGGCCUCAAAGUCACAGAGAUCAACCCACCUCUGUCUCCCAAGUGCUGGAAUUAAAGGCGCACGCCACCACUGCCUGGCCAAAAGAAAAUUUUCAAAGCAAGCAAACUGUGAAUCUAGGCAGCUGCCUGGAGGAGGGAGAUGGAGAAGAGGAAGUCUGACGCUAUCUUCUUAGAGUUAGACUUGGAGGUCAGCCAUGUGGUGGACAAGAAUCCACUUGGCAGAGCGGGGAGCUUUACAGAAAAAGCGAUGUCCAAAGUAUAGGGUAAGCAUGCUUAGAACAGGGGUAGAAAGAUGGAAAGGAAAUGUUACUCUUUCCGAGUAAUUCAGAGAACUGGGCAGAAUGAAGCCGCAUGGCUGUGGCUCUGUAAGCCACCACACUGAGGGUGGGAAUUCAUUAAGGGAUAAUUAUUCCUCCCCUACCUUUAACAUGCUUAAAGUAAACUUAUCCUCCCGAGGGCUGGUCCUUGGCCAGGUGAUUGACAGGCCCAGCUGGAUUAACACUUUUUAAAAUAUGUUUUCAGCAGCUUUGAAUGUUGGGGUGCCACUCAGGCCAGGCUGGCCUCCACACAGCCCCCAUCAAAGUGACUGUAACACUGGUGGGCCCUGAAAGAGUUACCCCAGGCUGAGAGUUAGCUUGUUGCCUGCUGCAUGACGGAAACUCAGGAGGGGUCACGACCCACAGGUUGAGAACUCCUGCCCAGGAGCAUGGCGGUGCAGAGAAUUUGCAGUUUGGACCUUGAAGAUGACAGGAGACAGAAGACCAGAGCAGAGAUGAGGCAUGCUCCUUGCCCUGUCAUUCGUCAGCAGAUAGAAGGUGCCGGGAGCACCAUCCUCGCAUCUUCUAAACACCCUGAACCAGCCACCAGUUUGAAAAGAGCUGGGAUACUUGCUAAAAUGCAGGUGUCCUGGCUGUCCCCACCUUUACUGACCAGAGUAGGGGAUUCUACAUUUCCUUCACGUCCUCUACAUGGCCCUGGACAGGUGUGGAGGAGAGGAAGAGCAGGGAGGAACCUUCCCGGACCCCGCUGCUCCGGGUUUGUCCGAGCUUUGCCCCUAGCCCUUCCCACGUGUCUUAGAACACGCUCCCUUUCGCGUGGACUCUCAGGGGUAGCAGCUGCCACGGGGCUUUCUAACCCACGCUGGCUGGGCGUGGCUGGGCCCCUCCAUCCCGGGGGCGCUGCACAGAAGCCACCUUGCUCUGUCUCCAUCCCUUCCAUCGCCGCAGCCAGGCCCGGCUCAGCCGAGGGCCGCAUCCUUGCGGGUGGGGCCAUCUGGCCACACACCCGGCCGUGACUCAGCCUCGGCGGGCGGCACAGCCUCGGGCCGUGCGGGGACAAAGCUGCGCCACCGCGCCCCACCUGCAGGCCGCCCGGCUCCCCCGCCCUCCGCUCGGCUCCCGGAGGGAGGUGCUGGCUGUUGCCAGGCAGGCUGGGCCCGCGGCGGCUGCGGUUGGCUCCCGGUCGCCCGCCGCCCCCGCACCGCCUCCGCGCGCUGAGUCACCCCGCCCCACCGGCC